rnacentral:rRNA from 1 species
AUUGAACGCUGGCGGCAGGCCUAACACAUGCAAGUCGAACGAGUGGCGGACGGGUGAGUAAUGUCUGGGAAACUGCCCGAUGGAGGGGGAUAACUACUGGAAACGGUAGCUAAUACCGCAUACCAUCGGAUGUGCCCAUAUGGGAUUAGCUAGGAGGUGGGGUAACGGCUCACCUAGGCGACGAUCCCUAGCUGGUCUGAGCGGAUGACCAGCCACACUGGGACUGCGACACGGCCCAGCGUCCUACGGAAGGCAGCAGUGGGGAAUAUUGCACAAUGGUCGCAAGCCUGAUGCAGCCAUGCCGCGUGUAUGAAGAAGGCCUUCGGGUUGUAAAGUACUUUCAGCGAGGAGGCGUUACUCGCAGAAGAAGCACCGGCUAACUCCGUGCCAGCAGCCGCGGUAAUUC